rnacentral:rRNA from 1 species
UACGAAGGGGGCUAGCGUUGUUCGGAAUUACUGGGCGUAAAGGGCGCGCAGGCGGCCUACCAAGUCAGAUGUGAAAGCCCCGGGCUCAACCUGGGAACUGCAUUUGAGACUGAUAGGCUUGAGUUCGGGAGAGGAGAGCGGAAUUCCCAGUGUAGAGGUGAAAUUCGUAGAUAUUGGGAAGAACACCGGUGGCGAAGGCGGCUCUCUGGACCGAUACUGACGCUGAGGCGCGGAAAGCGUGGGGAGCAAACAGGG